AUACGGAGGGUGCGAGCGUUACUCGGAGUCACUGGGCGUAAAGCGUCCGUAGGCGGUCGGGUAAGUCGGGUGUGAAAGCCCCGGGCUCAACCUGGGAAGUGCACCCGAUACUGCUCGACUCGAGUGCGGGAGAGGAUGGCGGAAUUCCCGGUGUAGCAGUGAAAUGCGUAGAGAUCAGGAGGAACACCAGUGGCGAAGGCGGCCAUCUGGCCCGCAACUGACGCUGAGGGACGAAAGCGUGGGGAGCAAACAGGAUUAGAAACCCUAGUAGUCC
rnacentral:rRNA from 1 species